rnacentral:rRNA from 1 species
UACGAAGGGGGCUAGCGUUGCUCGGAAUCACUGGGCGUAAAGCGCACGUAGGCGGCUUUUUAAGUCAGAGGUGAAAUCCUGGAGCUCAACUCCAGAACUGCCUUUGAUACUGAGAGGCUUGAAUCCGGGAGAGGUGAGUGGAACUGCGAGUGUAGAGGUGAAAUUCGUAGAUAUUCGCAAGAACACCAGUGGCGAAGGCGACUUACUGGACUGUAACUGACGCUGAGGCAUGAAAGCGUGGGGAGCAAACAGG